CAGUGUGUCUAUUGGAAGUUUCUUUGAUGAUGUGAUCAGUUAGAGCGGAUGGCCUGUAAAUAUCUCGGAUUCUAAUAGAUUCUUUUGUCUUUUAACGGUUUAGGUUCCGUCGAAGCUCCGGAAAUAAACGGCUGACGAUGCGGCUUUAAGUUUAAGUUUUAUUUGAACUAAUAAAAUAACUUCCACCGCCUACUCUGAAACUACGCUACAUAACGGAUAUUCAUUUUCGUCAUAUCACAUCUUUUAAUUAUUCUUUACUUUAUUUAUUUUCCCAGUGCCAUCUGGUGAAGUUAUCAACUUUUUCCGUGACUUUGUCUCAUUUAAUGAUGUGACAAACAUCCAAUACUCUGUUGUCGGUGGUGCUCCUUGUCAAGAGUACACGAUCAGGGCAAACCUAAACCCAGGACCCACAACAAGCCAGAAUCAGCGCAGCAGGGACGACGUUAAACUACUGGAUUCAAGCGACGUUUAUGUCAACCGUAAUGCUUUGCGAAGCUGUGUACAAGCAGGGCACUCAGCAAAAGGCCCCAUUGGGCUUUUAAAAAAACUCAUUCCAAUAGUUUUUUCUGCCGAGGAGCUUGCAAGGUCGUGCGGCCAAGGACUCGCUCGCGGAGGGGCAUCUCAGAAGGAGGAUGGGAAAGCCCCUCUUGACCAGCACAAGGUCAAUGCUUGCAAAGAUUACCUUGUCGCCUUCUGCCUCCAGAAUAAAAUGGCCCAGCCAGGAGCGCAAGAGAUAAAUAAAGCGUUCACGCAACAAAUUACAUAUGCGAGGACAAAAUUAAAAAUGCAGAGUGCUGCCGUGAACACUGAGUAGAUAUAAUGAUCACCGUCUUUUAUGUAUUUCUUUUUAUACACUAGACGGUCGAGGUUUAUACACGAUUAAAAGUAGUACUAACCAUACAUGUUGUAGAUCUGUUGAUUAUUAGAAGAUAGUAAAUGAUUGAUUAAAGUCACGACCGAACUUUAGAACCUAAAUCCAACCUAACUAAGGCCUAAUUGAGCGAACGAUUUUGGCUACGGUUUUAGGUCGUAAAUUGGGUUCCUUUUACGCUCAAAUUAGUCUCAAAUAUUUAGGUUCGUGCGAGGCUCAUUUUGGCUGAGAUUUGGCUUUAAACAUUUAGGCUCAAUUUAGGCUCAUUUUCGCUCAAAAUGUGGCUCAAAUUUUAGGCCCGAAUUUGGCUCAGUUUAACGGCGUAAUUUUUCGUACGGGUAAUAGCCUUGAAGAACUGUACAAGAAAUAUAUCAAGUCGCUUGAUGCAGAAGAUACACAUUUAAAACCGAUUUCCACCAGUGCACACCCAUCCAGAGCAACAACAACUACAAAACCAUUACCCAAACAGUACCAACCGACGAGUGAUGAGACCCAUGCAGCUUCUCCCCUGGAGAGUACCAACCCUUGGUCUGGAAACCUGAUGUUUCUACUGGCUGUGACCCUGAUGUUCCUAGUGCUUCUGCUUUUGGUUGGGGUCAUGAUCUAUUACAUUAGACGGAAAGGCUGCUACCAUAUGUGCUUAUCACAGCUGAACUGCAUUCAGCAGUGGAAAGAUGCCCACUGUGACGACAUCGCGCCGCCUCAGGAAUCCGACCCUUGGAUGACCAUCAACGCUGGAGGCUACAAUGUUAAGACUGGCAAGAUUACAUACGCUGCUUUUGUAUGAGUGCAUCUGCAAAUUUAUGGUUCUGUUAUGUGCAGCCUGUUUGUGAUUUAUAUGCAGAAUGUUGUGUUUAUAGCCCCAAGCAGUAUAGGGUGCUUUGGGUUUUUGAGGGACUUCCCACUGAUUUAACAUAAGAAGACGUAGUAAUGAAUAUUGUUUGGAUAAAAAUAUAUAAGCUUAUAUUCCUUAUAUUUGUUUGAAUGUAUUGCAGUUUAUCAUUGAUAACGUGGGUGUGAUUAUAAUAAUACUUAAGAAUUAUACCAUAAUUUAUCAUUUGAUGAUUUUUUGGUAAUUGAACUUUAGAUUACUAUUGUAGUUAUUACGCCUACAUAGAAUCAAAUUUUUACUUCGAUCUUAAAAUAAUAAAAAAAGAUGCUAAUCAAGCGUUCAGCUUCAAGCUCUUCACAUCUUAAAAACAGCUGCAAUGACUUUGGACGAAGAAAAUCAACUCGCUUCUAGCAUGCGAAAAAUUCAGACAUGAACAUAAGCAGGGUCGAUUGUCAAAACCGGCCCAAAAUCCUGUCAGCUUGUGUCAUCUAACAGGACCGAGUCACAAAAGCGCCGCUAGCUAUUCAUCCUUUCCUUAUAUGGUCAUGGCGUGAUUCUCAUUCGAUAAAGCGUGAAAUUUUACACAAACUUGUCUCAUACAUCAUUCUCUUUCAAAGUCAAACAACGCUAAAAAUCUAUACUAAUUUCAUCGCUUCUAAAUCUACGACAACAUCACAUCUUUCAGUAUGAGGCAUCGUGAUCAACAGAGAUCUUAUUAUACGAUCGCGGGAGUGGUGGGAGUAUAUAUUUUAUUUUUUUAUUGAUAUCUCCCUGAUAAGCGCCCAUGUUCUACAUAAUAAAAUUUCCGCAACGCCUCUAAAGUACAAGGACUUUCGCAUAACGCUCGCGAAGCAACUGAUUGCUGACUUCAAUGGAAGAAAGCGCGUGGGUCGGCCAACUUUAUAGUUUUGCUUCUAAUAAAAGAACUAGAGCAGUGACUAAUUAUUGCGUGCUUGUAGUCCAAUUAAUUCAGGCACAGGGGUCAUGUCAAGAACUUAGGCGUGAAAGGGUUAACUGCAGAUUUAUCGGGACAGCUUCUGUCCGCAUCAUUUUCUUAAAUUCUUCUAUAGCAAUCAUAGAAAAUUUGUGAAUUUCACAAUUUCCUUGCGCGUGUUUUGUAAUGGGCGAAGCGGCCGAAGUCCAAUUUGUAAGAGGAGACUUCAAUAAUUUGUCUAACUUAUUAGCGUUUCGCCCACACUGAACUCCGAAACAAACACAAGCUAAGCAAAACACUCCAUUGUAAUAUUUAGAGCAGCCAUGGAUAUUUCUUUAGCCAGUUUAAAACAAACUUGCGAGAUUUUCCAUUCUCUAUUGACACCGGGAAAUCGGAAAGCUCACCUGGUUUCCAUACAUUCUCGAUGAAUUUCAACUUGUCCUGAGGCGAAUAUCUGGCGAUCUUGUCGAAGACUAAGCCAAUGUCGUAGGGAGAACAAUCCUCCUUCCUACAGACAGAGCACGAGCCAUAAAGAGUAAAAACUAGUGCAAUUUGUUAACUAAUUCCUUCGUAAACUCCGAUGCAAGGACUCUAGUGAAGGCAAACGAAAUGAGACCGUUAGGGGAGGUACAAACCCUUUUAUACUUUUGUCGAUAGUUUCCGUUAGCCAAUCAAAAAUGGUUUUGAGUGAGUUCCAACACAAUGAAAAAAUUUCCAGCCAAUCGCGCGAGGUUUUGAGUGUGUUCCAGUGCUAACUAUAAUAACACCUCACCCACCCCCUUGCUUGCAAAUUGGUGACAAUAUUUUCCGAUCUUAUCCGACGGAUUUCCGAAGGUUUCCGAAAAGUGAUCGAAGCUCAAAUCCAAAGCUCGUGAUCCAGGGCGCUCCGUGAAGUCGCAUAAGAAUAAUAACGACGAUAAGGCAUCUUUUUACGUGUUUAAUUUAAUAAAAAGCAAAAAUACAGAAGAUUGAAUGAUUUCCACAGACAAGCCAAUAGUUUCUAGGGAGAUCGGAGUAUUUUUAAAAAUGCCAUUUAAGUUCAAAAUAACUUGGUCUGAAAAACUUUGAGUGUGUUCCGGAACUCAUGUAAACUACCCUGGAUCCAACCCUGCUGUACAUGGUCCAUCGCACGGAACUGUGGCUGCCACCAUAGUUAGUUUUUAUAUUCAUUUUUUCCCAAUUUGUUUAUUUUGGGGUACGUCCUUCAUAAGCCUCGUGCCCGUUUACGUAUGACCCCCCAUUAUUCAUCUUUGUUGUCUAAUAAAGCUAUUGAAGACUAUUCUAGUAAUCAGUAACACUUUUGUGUUUUCUUGAGGUUUUACACCCAGCCUGUCAACUAAAAAAGUUGUCCAUGUAGACGGUGACAACUAAAAUGGCGGCUUCGAUGAAAUUCGCAAAACCAUUUGAGUGUCCGUGUAAAUCGGAGUUCCUGGACCAAGUUGUCGGCACAACCAUGAGCUUUUCUACUACCGUGAGGUUUCCUGGCUUUAACCACCAUUUCCUUUACCCACCAUCCUUUUUUUCGUUUUGAUACCAAAAUCAUCAAUGUGGCGGGGAUUCCUGAAGCAACCUGAGCUGAGCUUGUUUCCUCGAAAGAGGAUCCAUUUUUCAAGUCGCGAAAUCUUCAUUUCUGUUGAUGUUUUGCGUAUCGCUGCUGUGCAAGCGGAUUACGGGCGCGCAAGAAACGAAAGUUGAUAACUAAAAGUUGUUGACCGUCUACACGAGCAAUUAAAAAUUGUCAGCUCUUCGCAACUAGGAAAGCGCAACUGGACUACCCCGUUCUCGUCUUACGUAAAAAAUCAAGCAGUUGCGUUUGGGCUUGCGUUUUAGUGGGAAUCGGUAAAUUACGUUGGCUGAGCUUGCGCUUACGUCCUAGUGAGAACCAACCUUUAGACACGUAAUACGUGAUUGUAAUUUGUAAACAUUAUCACCCUAUCACCCCCACCUAUCCUCUUAAUUACUGGGAUACCUGUGAUAGCCCAUUCAUAAUAUGCAAUUUUUUUUUCUGCCCGCGAUAUGGCCAAAGUUGCGCAAUAACCCAAGAACCUUUGUGCCAUAGUCGAUCCCUUCUGCAUAAUUUAAAACUGUGUCAUGGCCGCCACUUUGAUUUUGAAAUUCCAGCUCUCAGAUCCAUGUUAUUUCUGCAGUUGAAAGCCAGAUUCGCGAUUUCAUUACUUCAUAUAUUACCAUAGUCUUAAUCUCAACCAGGUAAUUAUGCAAAAUCAUCUCAGCUUGGAUUGAUUUCGUUUAUUUACUCGUGUUUCCAUUUCCGACCCGAUCAAGACCCGAGACAAGUGGCGAGCUACUUUAGACAAAUACAGUUUACUUCAAGACGUAAUUAAAUGUUCUCUGGACACUCAUGAAUGGACUGGAGGUAUUUACCUUGAUUGCUUAAUCUAUUUUGAAGUGGAAGUAUUUUGAAGCUUAUUGAUGAAAAUCGUCUAAGAGACCAUGACACGAAAAAUAUAAGCUUUUAUAACAAAAUAUAGGACAAAAGAUAGGACAAUCAGCCCCAUCUACUUUAAAUGGAGCACACCUCAAGUCCACUCCCACCUUAAAAGAUGAUGCUUCUUACCUUUCUUGCCCCAAUCAGUGUUGUGAUAUGGCAUUUACAA